rnacentral:other from 1 species
AAUACCCUGCUGUGUGCGUGACCAACCUUGAAGUUUUGAGCCAACACCAUAAAAAAGGGAGCCCGGACUCUGAAUGUGGCUUGCACGCCUCCCAGUUGAGGAAACGAAAAUCAUUCAGGAGGGCACCCACCUGUGAGAACAGGUUCGAACUUUGGGUGUUCACGGCAUGAGUGGGGUUUUU